AGAGUUUGAUCCUGGCUCAGGACGAACGCUGGCGGCGUGCCUAACACAUGCAAGUCGAACGGAGAUAAACGCUGAUGAUUUAGCUUGCUAUUGAUUCUUGUUUAUCUUAGUGGCGGACGGGUGAGUAACGCGUGAGCAACCUGCCUUUCAGAGGGGGAUAACGUCUUGAAAAGGACGCUAAUACCGCAUGAUAUUAUGGAGCCACAUGGCUCUAUAAUCAAAGGAGCAAUCCGCUGAAAGAUGGGCUCGCGUCCGAUUAGGUAGUUGGCGGGAUAACAGCCCACCAAGCCGACGAUCGGUAGCCGGACUGAGAGGUUGAACGGCCACAUUGGGACUGAGACACGGCCCAGACUCCUACGGGAGGCAGCAGUGGGGAAUAUUGCACAAUGGAGGAAACUCUGAUGCAGCGACGCCGCGUGAGGGAAGAAGGUUUUCGGAUUGUAAACCUCUGUCUUCAGGGACGAUAAUGACGGUACCUGAGGAGGAAGCUCCGGCUAACUACGUGCCAGCAGCCGCGGUAAUACGUAGGGAGCGAGCGUUGUCCGGAUUUACUGGGUGUAAAGGGUGCGUAGGCGGCGAGGCAAGUCAGGCGUGAAAUCUAUGGGCUUAACCCAUAAACUGCGCUUGAAACUGUCUUGCUUGAGUGAAGUAGAGGUAGGCGGAAUUCCCGGUGUAGCGGUGAAAUGCGUAGAGAUCGGGAGGAACACCAGUGGCGAAGGCGGCCUACUGGGCUUUAACUGACGCUGAGGCACGAAAGCAUGGGUAGCAAACAGGAUUAGAUACCCUGGUAGUCCAUGCCGUAAACGAUGAUUACUAGGUGUGGGGGGUCUGACCCCCUCCGUGCCGGAGUUAACACAAUAAGUAAUCCACCUGGGGAGUACGGCCGCAAGGUUGAAACUCAAAGGAAUUGACGGGGGCCCGCACAAGCAGUGGAGUAUGUGGUUUAAUUCGAAGCAACGCGAAGAACCUUACCAGGUCUUGACAUCCGUCUAACGAAGCAGAGAUGCAUUAGGUGCCCUUCGGGGAAAGGCGAGACAGGUGGUGCAUGGUUGUCGUCAGCUCGUGUCGUGAGAUGUUGGGUUAA
rnacentral:rRNA from 1 species